rnacentral:rRNA from 1 species
GAUGAACGCUGGCGGCGUGCCUAAUACAUGCAAGUCGAGCGAACGGACGAGAAACUUGCUUUUCUGAUGUUAGCGGCGGACGGGUGAGUAACACGUGGAUAACCUACCUAUAAGACUGGGAUAACUUCGGGAAACCGGAGCUAAUACCGGAUAAUAUUUUGAACCGCAUGGUUCAAAAGUGAAAGACGGUCUUGCUGUCACUUAUAGGUGGAUCCGCGCUGCAUUAGCUAGUUGGUAAGGUAACGGCUUACCAAGGCAACGAUGCAUAGCCGACCUGAGAGGGUGAUCGGCCACACUGGAACUGAGACACGGUCCAGACUCCUACGGGAGGCAGCAGUAGGGAAUCUUCCGCAAUGGGCGAAAGCCUGACGGAGCAACGCCGCGUGAGUGAUGAAGGUCUUCGGAUCGUAAAACUCUGUUAUUAGGGAAGAACAUAUGUGUAAGUAACUGUGCACAUCUUGACGGUACCUAAUCAGAAAGCCACGGCUAACUACGUG